rnacentral:rRNA from 1 species
UACGGAGGGGGCUAGCGUUGUUCGGAAUUACUGGGCGUAAAGCGCGCGUAGGCGGCCUACUAAGUCAGGGGUGAAAUCCUGGAGCUCAACUCCAGAACUGCCUUUGAUACUGGUUGGCUUGAGUCCGGGAGAGGUGAGUGGAACUGCGAGUGUAGAGGUGAAAUUCGUAGAUAUUCGCAAGAACACCAGUGGCGAAGGCGGCUCACUGGCCCGGUACUGACGCUGAGGUGCGAAAGCGUGGGGAGCAAACAGG